rnacentral:rRNA from 1 species
AGCAUGUGGUUUAAUUCGACGCAACGCGAAGAACCUUACCUGGGUUUGACAUCCCGAUCGUACUCUAUGGAAACAUAGGGGUCAGUUCGGCUGGAUCGGUGACAGGUGCUGCAUGGCUGUCGUCAGCUCGUGUCGUGAGAUGUUGGGUUAAGUCCCGCAACGAGCGCAACCCUUGUCCUUAGUUGCCACCAUUCAGUUGGGCACUCUAAGGAGACUGCCGGUGUUAAACCGGAGGAAGGUGGGGAUGACGUCAAGUCCUCAUGGCCCUUAUAUCCAGGGCUACACACGUGCUACAAUGGCCGGUACAAAGGGUCGCAAUACCGCGAGGUGGAGCUAAUCCCAAAAAGCCGGUCUCAGUCCGGAUUGGAGUCUGCAACUCGACUCCAUGAAGUUGGAAUCGCUAGUAAUCGCGGAUCAGCACGCCGCGGUGAAUACGUUCCCGGGCCUU